CAAAAUCUGAUUGUUUAUGAAUUGGUUUUUUUUUUUUUUUUUUUCACAUUACAGAAAUUAGAAUAUGAAAGCUCUCAAAAUCUGAUUGUUUAUGAAAUGGGUUUUUUUUUUUUUCCCAUUACAGAAAUUAGAACAUGAAAACUCUCAAAAUCUGAUUGUUUAUAAAUUGGGGGGUUUUUUUUUUUCCACAUUACAGAAGUCAGAAUAUGAAAACACUCAAAAUCUGCUUGUUUAUGAAUUGGGUUUUUUUUUCGCAUUACAGAAAUCAGAAUAUAAAAACUCUUGACUAGAUUUGGCUCGUUGUUUUUGUUGUUGUGGUUAGCAAUAUCAAUGCCAUUUUGUCAUUGGGAGAAUCCAUACAGCAAAACAGGUCGACUAUCAUAUUUUUGCAUGGCUCUUACAAAACCAAUUAAUGGUUGCGGCCAUUACUCAAGGUAAAAGUCAAAUGCUACUGAAUUCUCCCAUCCCUUUGUCAUUAUACAGAAUUCAACUUAAUUUGUACAUCUAUUUCAACUUUUUAAAACAGUUGGUCACACUAUAGAUGAGUCAUAGCUCAUAACCAAAAAGAUAAAAGAUAGAGAAAAAAAAAAAAGAAAGAAAGAAAAGAUAACUAAAGGAUGACUAUGACCACCAGUAAGUUAUGUUGAGGAUGCAGGGGAUCCUUAUAGAGAUCAAAUGGAAUAUUGUAUCAGUUUAAUAAUGGAAGAAUUGAAAUCUAGAGGAAUUGCCAACAGUCACUCUUGCAUACCAGGACAAGUUGCUGUGUGACAGGUGGCAGUUUUAACUAACAGAGCCGCAAACUUACAUAUUCCUAACUACCCAAGUCUCGCUUCCUACAAUUGCUAUUGAAAAGGUCUUUGUUGCAAACAACACAUUGUGGUCAAGUCCUAGAUCAUAGGUUGAGCCUUAUUCCCAUCAAAGCUGACCCAAGGCUGUUCGAAUAUGUUUCAGGUACUUCUUCAAGGUCUAGCUUCGAGGGAUUUAAUGUGUGGAAGGAAGAAACUGUAAUGAAGGUAAAAAAUCCAUGGCCUAAUUUGAUGCUCAUAGCGGGGUGUUGCCGAACCGUUUUGGUUUAACAGAGGCAAGGUAAGCAGUUCCAAACCUCUCUUAACAGAGGAGAUUUAGAAGGGGAACCAAAAAAGAAACAAAGAAACAAGGAAAAGAUCAAACUAUUAGAAGUUGGGUGUGACUUCUGGCGACAGCGUGCACCAAGAGUUGGUGCACACAUAUCUCCCACCACCUAAAAAUGAUAGGUUAUAUGAAAAAAAAAAUGGCAAUCAGAUUUUAAAAAUCUAUUUUUGAAACACAUUUAGGGUCUCUUUGUUAGCCACUCUCGAAAAGAAUUUUUUUGAUGCAUAUUUCUAUGAAAAGAAAAUUAUGAAAACUUUCCAGAAAUUUGAUUUUAUUUUGAAGGUUGUUUGGUUCGCACUGCUUGUUUUUCCAUCUUCAUAGAUAAUUUGUUUUCCAACUUUGGCCCCUGCCAUCAACUUCCUGAUUUUAUUUAAAAAGGAAAACUUUUUCAGAAAUGAUACUGAGCUCCCAUCCAAACUAAGUUGACUCAGCAACUAAAUCGAGAACUGAUAUGAAUAAUGACUGCUAAGAGUGACAAACCAGUCACGGUGAAAAUAUGGUGUAGAAAAAACAUCUCAUGGCCACCACACUACUAGCUGAUAUUUUAUGGAAAGAUAUAUUAUCACAGCUUGCAAAUUGUGGCUUCUAAGAGCUUCAGUGGUCUCCACAUUAAUGGGCAUCAUAAUUUUUCUGUUUGCUCAUGCACAAAUACUAGUUUGCUUCAUCAAAAAGCAUGUUAUUGACAAAUGGACAAAUGACAUUUAAUAAUAGAAUCCCAAGAUGGAAGGCAUACCGUCAGCAUCAGAUGCCACAAAUUAAUAUCAUGAACUCCCUCUAAUACCACCAGUAAAACAUGACUAAUGGAUACCAGUAAAACAUGACUAAUAGAUGACUUGGUUUUUUAGUAGUAUGCACAGCUUUUUGGCUUGCUAUUUUGUACUUUUUCUUACUUU